UGGGGAAUAUUGGACAAUGGGGGGAACCCUGAUCCAGCAAUGCCGCGUGUGGGAAGAAGGCCUUCGGGUUGUAAACCACUUUUGUCAGGGAAGAAACGGCCUGAUCUAAUACAUUGGGUUAAUGACGGUACCUGAAGAAUAAGCACCGGCUAACUACGUGCCAGCAGCCGCGGUAAUACAGAGGGUGCGAGCGUUAAUCGGAGUGACUGGGCGUAAAGGGCAUGUAGGCGGUUAUAUUAGUCUGAUGUGAAAGACCUAGGCUUAACCUGGGACAUGCAUUGGAAACGGUAUAGCUAGAGUAUGGGAGAGGGAAGUGGAAUUUCCGGUGUAGCGGUGAAAUGCGUAGAGAUCGGAAAGAACACUCGUGGCGAAGGCGGCUUCCUGGCCCAAAACUGACGCUGAGGUGCGAAAGCAUGGGGAGCAAACAGGAUUAGAUACCCCAGUAGUCCCUGAGCGGGCUGGCAAGGCGCAU
rnacentral:rRNA from 1 species